rnacentral:rRNA from 1 species
ACGCUCGACACCUACUGGAGGCAGCAGUGGGGAAUAUUGCACAAUGGGGGAAACCCUGAUGCAGCGACGCCGCGUGAGUGAAGAAGUAAUUCGUUAUGUAAAGCUCUACCAGCAGGGAAGAAAGUGACGGUACCUGAGUAAGAAGCCCCGGCUAACUACGUGCCAGGAGCCGCGGUAAUCUGAGCGGGCUGGCAAGGC